UGUUCAGGCGGUCUAGCAAGUCGGGCAUGAAAUCUCUGGGCUCAACCCGGAGGGGUUGUCCGAUACUGCUGGGCUUGAGGGCAGCAGAGGGUGGUGGAAUUCCGGGUGUAGUGGUGAAAUGCGUAGAUAUCCGGAGGAACACCAGUGGCGAAGGCGGCCACCUGGGCUGUACCUGACGCUCAAACACGAAAGCUAGGGGAGCGAACGGGAUUAGAAACCCCGGUAGUCCUAGCCGUAAACGAUGUUGACUAGGUGUCGACGGUCUAAACCCCGCCGGUGCCGGAGCUAACGCACGAAGUCAACCGCCUGGGGACUACGGCCGCAAGGUUAAA
rnacentral:rRNA from 1 species